AGAGUUUGAUCAUGGCUCAGAUUGAACGCUGGCGGCAUGGCUAAAACAUGCAAGUCGAACGAAACCCCGCAAGGGGAAAAGUGGCGGAAGGGUGAGUAAAAGUAUCGAAUGUGCCCCGAGGUGGGGGAUAGGCAUGGGAAACUGUGCGUAAUACCUCAUGAUCUCGAGAGAGCAAAGGCGCAAGCCGCCUUGGGAGCAGCGAUAUACCUAUCAGGUAGUUGGCGGGGUAAAGGCCCACCAAGCCGAAGACGGGUAGCCGGUAUGAGAGUACGGCCGGCCACAUCGGGACUGAGACACUGCCCGGACUCCUACGGGAGGCUGCAGUAACGAAUAUUCCGCAAUGCACGAAAGUGUGACGGAGCAAUGCCGCGUGCAGGAUGAAGCAACUUCGUUGUGUAAACUGCUGUCAGAAGCUAGAAACCAUGAUCAGCUUCAGAGGAAGGACCGGCUAAUCUCGUGCCAGCAGCCGCGGUAAUACGAGAGGUCCAAGCGUUAGUCGGAAUCACUGGGCUUAAAGGGUGCGUAGGCGGGUCUGUAAGUGUCUUGUGAAAUCCCCGGGCUCAACCCGGGAAUUGCAGGGCAUACUGCGGAUCUUGAGGAAUCUAGAGGCCGGCAGAACGAUAGGUGGAGCGGUGGAAUGCGUAGAUAUCUAUCGGAAUGCCAAAGGUGAAGACAGCCGGCUGGGGAUUUCCUGACGCUGAGGCACGAAAGCGUGGGGAUCAAACAGGAUUAGAUACCCUAGUAGUCC
rnacentral:rRNA from 1 species